rnacentral:rRNA from 1 species
CCUACGGGUGGCAGCAGUGAGGAAUAUUGGUCAAUGGCCGAGAGGCUGAACCAGCCAAGUCGCGUGAGGGAAGACGGCCCUACGGGUUGUAAACCUCUUUUGUCGGGGAGUAAAGCGAGUCACGUGUGACUGAUUGAGAGUAUCCGAAGAAAAAGCAUCGGCUAACUCCGUGCCAGCAGCCGCGGUAAUACGGAGGAUGCGAGCGUUAUCCGGUUUUAUUGGGUUUAAAGGGUGCGCAGGCGGUGGUGUAAGUUAGCGGUCAAAUUGCGGGGCUAACCCCCGAACUGCCGUUGAAACCGCAUGCCUUGAGUACGCGAGAAGUAUGCGGAAUGGGUGGUGUAGCGGUGAAAUGCAUAGAUAUCACGCAGAACUCCGAUUGCGAAGGCAGCAUAC